CUCUAAGCAAAUUAAUGCAGAAAGAGAAAACCAAAUGAGACAGCCAGGUGGGAGGGGAUCCCCAGAAAUACUCAAACUGACCUUACUGGGGUGGAGACACAGAAGUUCAAGCCCUUUGCAGAGGGGAGAAACCUAGCUCCUCCUCUUCCUAUGUGGAACCUGGGAUUUAAACCGUGGGCAGGAAACACUCUAGUGGGCAACCCUGGACUUGCAGACAGUUCCUGUUUCUCACUUCUUUUUCACCCAGUAAAACCCUGCUUUACUCACCCUCCCCAACCAUCUGCAAGCCUAAAUUUUCAUGGCUGUGUGAUGGACAAAGACUUGUCUUUAGCUGAACUAAGGAAAAUUCCUUCAACGCAAAUACCACAUGUUCUCACUUAUUAGUGGGAGAAAAACACUGGGUAUGUAUGAACAUAAAGAUGAGAGCAAUAGAUCCUGAGUACUACUGGAGGGGAGAGGGUGGGAGGGAGUAAGGGCUGAAAAACGACCUAUUGGGUACUAUGCUCACUUCCUGGGUGACAGGAUCAAUUUGGUACUCCAAGCCUCAGCAUCACACAAUAUAUCCACGUAACAAACUUACACAUGUAUCCCCUGAAAAGAAAAGAAAAAAAAAAAUAGAAAAAAAAAAAAGAUUAAAAUAAAGAAAAAAACCUUAAAAAUAGAAAAAACCGUACAAAGUAAGAAUAUAAAGAAAGAAAAUAUUUUUCUACAGCUGUACGAUGUUUGUGUUUUAAACUAUUAAUAUGUUCUUACCAUUGUAGAGUCAAAAGUUUAAAAAAAAUUCAUAAAGAAAAAAGUUACAAUAAGCUAAGGUUAAUUUAUUAUGCCCUAGGCAUUCACAUUCACUCACCACUUACUGACUCACCCGGAGCAACUUCCAGCCCUGCAAGCUUCAUUUAUGAAAAGAAUAGCUAGCAUGAUGUAUUUCAAGUUUCUGGCAUGUCAUUUUCACUGAGACGUCUGAAGACCAGAAAGACUUUGCAGAAUUUCAAAACACUUAUUAGAUGGUUUUGAGACUAGCAGAUUAAUACACAUUUGGUUUUUCAAUGUACAGCCGUAAAUGGACAUGGAAUGACCAAAAAGCUGCAUUAAGCUUCAUGGAGACCAUUCAGUUUUCCACAGUAGUGUUUGGUGUAUACAGUAAAGAAGAUAGAGAGAAGGAGAGGAAGCUAGUGAGAGGGAGGGGGAGAAAAGAGGGACUUUACUGGGUUGCAUAAUGAUAGUCAAAAUAGUUUAAGGAAAGCAAAAUUUUAUAAUAAAUUAAUACAUUUAGCCUUUUUUAUUUCUCUUAAAAUUUUUGUUUGGACCCAGAAUAAAUUUUUAUUUAACUUAUAUUUCUCAGUGUUGACAUAAGGUACAAAUUCAUUAAAUUUUUACCUUUGCCAGAAUUACUCUUUUUACCUUUAUACACCAAUAAAAGGAUGAUAAAAUUUAAGUUUAAAGAGAUUACAUUUAGGCCAGGCACGGUGGCUCGUGCUUGUAAUCCCAGCACUUUGGGAGGCUGAGGCGGGCAGAUUACUUGAGGACAAGAGUUCAAGAUCAGCCUGGCCAACAUGGCGAAACCUCUCUCUACUAAAAAUUAGCUGGUGUUGGUGCACUUGCCUCUCGUCCCAGCUACUCGGGAGGCUGAGGCACGAGAAUGGUUUGAACUCAGGAGCCAGAGGUUACUGUGUGCUGAGAUUGUGCCACUGCAUUCCAGCCUGGGCAACAAAGUGACACUGUCUGAUAAAACAAACAAACAGACAGAAAGUUUACAUUUAAAUUUGUUUCUAUUUAUAACUCGUUCUCUUUAUUUUACCAAGUUCUAAAUAUAAUUUCUCUAAUUUAUUUGGGUAGAUAAGAUUAAUAAUUCAAGACUUGAUUCUAGAAAACAUAAUCAAAUUUGUUAAGUAACCUGAAUGUGGAUUUUGGUCACUCAAAUCUCUUUUCCUUAAUGUGUGUCAUAAAUGCAUAACAUGACAUUAUUACUAACAACUGUAAAAUACUCCACACAUCAUAAAGUUGAAUGUACAAUUCAUUGAAUUAGUAAAAAAUCCAUGUUAAUUUCAUAAAUGUUCCUAUAGACAACACACAUUUCACUAUAGAUGUGCAAGUACAUUAUCUUAUAUUGUUUGCUUGCUAACUAAUUAAAAUUAUUUUUUCUAUAAUAUUAUAGAAGAGGUUUAUGGCAAUAAUCAACCGGUCUCCUAAAUCUAUGGUUUCCUUGUUAUAUGUUUUGUGGAUAAAAUUGAUUGAAUAAAUGAUAUUUCUCAUAAUCAGUUAAAGGAUGGUAAAAUGCUUUUUCACAAUAUUUAUUCAAAAGUUGCAAAAUGAUCAAAUUAAUUUUCUUGAAAUUAAAACUAUAUAUUAACAUUAAAAAGUUAUCUUAAUCAAAAUGAUCCAAAAUUAAACCUAGACCUUAAGAGUAAUUUAUAACUGAAUUAAAUAUGGUACUAUAUAAUUAAAUUAAGUAUUGUUCUAUAAGUUGGCAUUUUAGAAGGCAUAAAAUGAAAUUAUUUACCCUUAAAUAAUUCAUAGCUUACUGGAAUAAAAUCCUUUUGUGAAAUUAGCUCAUUUGGUUUUUACUCAAUACUAUGUCCCUCAAUUAAACUUUUUGUCCAAUAUAUGUUCAUUUUAAACAAUGAACAUAUAUUUACUCUGAUGCCAAAAGUAUUUAAAUAAUUUUAUGUAUUUUCCAAAAACUUAGUCAGAAAAUAUAUCAAGGUAUAAUUUUAAUAAUUUACAUACAUCACAUAUCUAGCUUCUAUAAUACAAACUCCAUAUUAAUUUCUGUAUAUCACACUAUUAAUGAUUCACUCAAUUCAUUCUGAUUUUUUCUCAAGAGACCUUUGUUUAAUGUCUUAUAUUAAAUAAAAGAAUUUUAGUUUGCUAAUAACAAAAUCAUUAGAAAAACAUUUAAAGUAAUAAAUUGAUUUGUAUUCAUAUAGAAUUUAAAAAAAUUAAAGUUCUAUUUAUAAUUAUGAGACUAUGUUCAAAGCAGAAAAUAAUCUGUUGUAUAUAGAAACACAAACAUGUUUUUUAAAACUGAUUUCUAGUGAAAAUGAUUUGAGAUCAUCUUUAGAGGGCAGCAUCUAACUAGGGAAAGAGGUAUUUCAGGCUAAUAUGUUUGAGCCAUUGCAAUGGUUAUAUCUGGUUGUUGGAAGUUGAUAGCCUAUUAAAACAUCACCGAUUUCAUAAUUCCAAUAUCAGAAGACACUAAAUAACAGCAUCUGACAUUAGUCUCCAUGAAUAAUCCAGUUGAACGUGCACCUCAUUAAAUGUCACCUGUUCUUAAAGGCAUGUGUAUUUUUACAGUAGAUAUUACAGUAUCUCAGAACACAUUUAUUUUUACUCAAAGCAUGGUAAUACAUAGCAAUAGCAAUCUAGGCUUUAACCAAUAUGUAUUAUAAAAAUAAGAGUGGGAGAAUGAAUUUCCAAUAUAUUUUUUAAUCGUAUCAUAGCACAAUUUUUUUUAAUGCUGCAAAGGAAGAAGUAAAAUAAAUGAGGCUAUAUAUUCUUGUAAUCAAAUGAGACUAGGACUUUAAAACAUGGGUCUAAAGAGUAUUUUAUUCCAUAUCCUUUGCCUUAAAAUUAGAAAACAUAAAUGUUAGUUAAAAAUUACUGUGAAAUAUAUGAACUAA
rnacentral:lncRNA from 1 species